rnacentral:rRNA from 1 species
UACGUAGGGGGCAAGCGUUGUCCGGAUUCACUGGGCUUAAAGCGCGUGUAGGCGGAUCGUUAAGUGCCUUGUGAAAUCCCACGGCUUAACCGUGGAACUGCUUGGCAUACUGGCGAUCUUGAGCCAUCUAGGGCCUGCGGAACAACGGUGGAGCGGUGAAUGCGUAGAUAUCGUUGGAACGCCAAUGGUGAAACAGCAGGCUGGGAUGUGCUGACGCUGAGACGCGAAGCCAGGGAGCAACGG